GGUGCUCCUCUGGACUCACUCCAGCAGGCUGAUGUCCUGCUCAGAACCCCAGAGCUGGAUGCAGCACUGCAGGUGGGUUCUCACCAGAGUAGAGCAGCGUAGAGAAAGAGAAUCCCCUCCCUCACCCUGCUGGCCACAGUACCUGCUAACUCUUCCAUAAAAGCAUUGCCCUAUGGAGGAGUGAUUCACUGGGAAAGGAGGGGCAGGGAGUUACCAGGACUUCAGUUCCCUCCCUCACCAAAUCCACUUGUUAUGGCAUGUUUGCUUGUGAUAUCAGGAUGUGAAGAGCCCGUUUCACUACUGCUGAUAGCAGCAUAUAAUGGAGCUGCCUGGGUGGCUGUGGCUUCCUUCCAUCCAGCCCUGACUUAAAAUGGUUUUAGGAUGUUACCCUGGAAGGUCCAAAUACCACACUGAGACAGCUGGGUACCGGUGAUUCACAAAUGAACUUGGGUUCAGGGGCAGUAAAUGCACUGAUAAAGUACAUACUUACAAUUAGCAAACAGUGAAAAGGGGAAGAUCACUGUGAUAAAUAUAAAUUAGAAAUGAGGGAAUACAGGAAAGCAAUGAGGGAAACAAAGGUCCUAAGGAGGAAAAAGAGAGGUACAAGGCAAGUAAGAGCAUUUGGUCAAAUCCAGAUCAGAAGGAACUUGCUGUUUUCCCAAGAGCUGAAAGUGCAGUUUGCCAUAUCACAGGGUGGGCAGGACCCUGAGGUGAGUUGCCCUGCCCCAGGAAAGCCAGUUAGCAGCUGUGGCUCCUGUUCCUUCAAACCAACAGGAAUGGGUAAUUUGCACUUGGGGGUUUUCAGCUAACCACACAGAGAGAUCUCUGAACUGUUAAUAUAGUGUGGUGGGUAUUAAUAAGCCUUGCUGUUCAGGGAAGCUCUGGGGGUCUGGGAAGCAGCCGUGGAAACAGGAUGACCUAAUUCCAGUCCCAUUGGCUUGCUUUCAGUGCCAACAGAAUGAAGAUUUGAUAUGAGGCAAGUGCUAAAACAGAAGCAAGAAAAUACCAUCAUGGCUAAUUAAAUAGUGCAAACUGAUAGGGAAUGGUGUAGAAAAUGGAUUGUGUUGACUAAGCAUAUUUUCAAGCUCAGAUGAUAAAUGUAGAAGUUGCAAUAAUACUUGGACCACUGGAGAGGUGUUUUCAGUGUCCUAGGGCCCAAGCAUUGUCUAUUAAACCAGAGCAAGCCACAUUCAUCAUUAAUCAACAUUAACCCCAAGCAGCAAAUCAUUAGUGACACUUUCAGUGGACAGCAGGGCCUCAAAUGGGUACUGAUACAUCCUUUCAUGUCUUUAUUAAUGGCUGGGCAACAUGCAUAAGGGUAACUAUGUCCUUUGCAGCUUGUAUUACAGGCAGAAAAGAUAGACAGUGAGAACAAUGUGCCUCAGCAGCCAAGCAGCCUGCCAGUGUUGUGCCAAGAGCCUGCCCCAGAUCAGGCCCCAAAUCAGGCCCUGAUAGACCUGGGCCACUUGGGUAUGGGAAAAAAACAGCCAGAAAAGCAGGGAUUUGUAUGGUUGAGGGAUAUAAAAAAGACAAGUCAAUGUUACCUUUUCCUAACAUCUUUUAGGAUAAUUAGGUGAAACCAGACUCCAAGUUUCAACGCUUUGUGCGUUUCAUUGCUAUCUGUUGAUCGCCUUGUCUGGUGCAGCCCAAGUCAGAGCCAGGGACUUCUCACAGAGGGAGAAGUUUUCUCACAGUGCUCUGUCUGGGUGGCUGCAUGAUGCCAACACGUCUGCAGGUGUUCUGCUGACAAGUGAGCAGUACAGACAUUUGUCCCUGUAAUCUUCUACUGGACAGCCCCACUUCCUGCUGGAAGUUAAUGGUGCAGUGCGUAAUGCUCUGCAGAGGUAAACCUGCACCUACCGGAUGUACUGGAGAGGCAAGCUAAAAGAGAAGCUCCUGAAAAAAGCAUUUAAAAUGCUUCUUUCAGAUAACUACUCCGCAUGCAUCCUUCAGAAGAUGUAUUAAGCCCUAACGUACUGCAGCUGACUGGUCCAGUCACCUGCUUUUUAAUUAAAGUGAAAGCCAUAUUUGCCUUGCAUACAAAGACAAAAGCCCCUUUCAGCCCUUAGCUCUUUGCAAAGGCAGGUUGUAAUUCUUCUCUUUGCAGUUUCUCUGCACUGUUUCCCUAUCCUUGUGCUGCUCAGCCCAUGCUCUGCCGAGCAGGCAGCUGGAGCCAUCCCUGCAGCAGGAGCCUCACCAAUGCUAAGUGAUGACCAGACAAGGAAAUGGGAAAGAGCCCAAUAUGAGAGGGAAUGUGAUAAUUUUACAUCAUUGCAUCCUUCUCUGAGGAGCUGCUCGGAGCACUGUGCAUUUCUUUUUAGUCCAAUCUUUAAUGUUUUCAAGCUUGUGAACAGAACCAGCUCUUUGGAAAAUAGGCAUGGGGGCAUCCAGUUCUGUACAGCAAGAGUAAGGAAGGAUGGGAUAUAGAGAUAUUUUGGCUUCACAGUCUGUUCUCAUAUACUUCCGUGAUGGCAUUUGAACUCUUUGAGAAUUAAUAAACUAAUUCACUAAACAGUAGUGCUGUUGUUCACUAGGUUUGUCAUCAGCUCAUCUAUGAAAAGUAACAGCAGCUUGAGGAUUUUGCUCCAAACACUCAGAUUUUGCUUAAGGUGAUUCUUGAUUACCUUCAACAAGCUGAACUGAUUUAAGUUCUCUUCUCAUGAAAAGUAUGAUGGGGGAGCUGAUUUAUUCAGUCAGAGAAUUCAUCACUGCAUAAACAGAGGAAGAGGCUGAAUUAGCAUUAGUGAAAGAUCUAUGAUUGUUCCUGGAGAAAUGUUAUUACUUUAACUCAGAGAGUUGACUCUGGGGCUUGGCUUUUUCUCUUUUGCUCUGUAAGAGUUUCCAGUGGACUGCUCUGUGAUGAAUAAUAUCUCAGUUGUUCUUCUUUUCUUAAAUAAAUCUAAUUAUGCUUUUUCUAUGCAGGAAAUGAAAUCAAAUUAUAGGUAUCACUCAUUCAUCCUUUUAUAACUCCUGUAACAUUAGCAAGACAAUGUCCUGCUGGUGAAGAAAGCAGUGUGCUUGGCCCUGGGCAGUUGGUAGAAGAUAGAAGCAUCUGAUCAAAUUACUCAGCUUCUCAAAGAAAUCAUUUUUAGAGGAUGUUGAUGAUUGUAAUUUGCUUACCUUGUUCCAUCCAGGUUGUUCCUAGCCAUGGAAAAUCACCCUGGCAGAGGAGUGAUGCUGGACAGGGGGAUAUAGUAGUGCUGAGCACAAGGAUGCCACCAAGGCAGCCAGCUGGGACAACUCAUCAAAGCAAGUGCUUGGUAGUCUCACACAUAUCUUGGAUUCUUCUACAGGGCUUAAAGCAUGUCAUCACAUACAUCUUGAAUUAUGUAUGAACCGCUGAUCGGACGUAGCAGAUCUGUGUAACCAGUGUUAUCCACCCGCCUACGGUGCCGGGGCUGCCAGAUGGGAAACGUCUGCUCCUGCACAGGCCAGCUGCGGUCUGUCUUCCUCCUGUGUCAGACAUCCCACACUGGUGUGGCCUCCAUCCCAGCAGAGGUGCUAUAGGAGGGAGAAAGCUCAGGAGCUGUGGCAAGUGUGGACAAUGGUGAUGAUGGCAAAGAGUUACAGCCUUGUAAACAAGGACAUGAGGGGAAAACAGUUAAAGGUAGUUCCAUAGAUCUGCUAAGAAAAGGGAGGGAUUGGAUUCCUGGGGCAUUCCUGAGCCCCAGCUGCUGUGGUUGUUCCCAUCUCUGACUGUUUAUGCAGGUACUUUGGAGUCUGACCUCAAUCUCUGCUGGAGAAAUGUCUACAACACUGGGAUAAGAAGAAUCUUGCCUUCAGUAGCAGAGGAAAGAAUGAAAAGUCUGGGACUGGUAACUUUGGCAAGAAGAUUGAAUACAACACAAGUCAUGGUAGCUUGAGAAUUUAUGAGAUUCAGGAAACCUCACAGAAGAACAAGCCUGACUUGCAGUAUGUGAUGGUUUCACAUCUGCCUGACUACAUGGUUCUCCACUUCCCUCUGAACUGCUGUGCUGAAGCUGCUGCCAGACAAGGUAGACCUCGAGCUUCAAUCAACAUGGCAAUUCUCUUGUCCCUUCUGCUAAUAAUUUCCCACAGCUCCCCUAUCAGCCUUGUCAAGGAAUACAGGCUAGAUAAUCUGCAAGAACUAAGCACCCAUUCCCUGACUGCUGGUCCUCCUCUGCCAUCCUGGCUCCUCAGUGAGCUGCUAUCAAUGAAGUCCGAACUUGGGCAGAUUCCUGCCUAAAGGGAAAAUAUCUUUCUCCACAACCAGCUCUGACACCUCUUGUCAGCAGCAAUUUCAAAUUCACCAUGUAACACCAAUAACAAAAUCCCACACCUAAACUGCAGCCCUGUUUCACACGGUCUGGUGCAGGGACAAGUCCCUGGGGAUGGAGCUGUGGCUGGAGAAGGGCAGUGUGUGCCCCAUGGGGUGGCUGCAUGGCUGCUGCUCCCACAGCCUCCCUGCAGGAAUGCAGGCAGGCGCAUCCCCCUGUGCUGCCUGGCCUCUGGCCUGGGAGAGCUGCCAGCUGGUUCCGCAGUCUCCCUUGGCUGAAAGGGUGUGAGGAAAUCGCAGAGGAUCUCUGUGGCCUGUGCCUGAAAACUUCUUCUGUAUCUGAUGGUGCCUCGUAAUAGAAUUUGACUGGUCAAUACUGGCUAGUGUGCCUGGGGUGAGAGCAUUUUAAAAUGGGUGUUGGAAACCCUUUUAUGGAGAAUUUCCAGCCUGCUUAUUGCUCCAGGUGGGAGAAGCCUGGAGGAAAGCCACAUGCGUGCAGCAGUCUAGACAUGUUUGAUUUCUUUUUGGAAUUAAAGAACAGAAGUCCCAUAAUACCCUCUCAUUUUUUUAACAUUCAUACAAGUAGCCAAUAUAAACAAUUCUCUCACUGCCCUGAAAUCUGGAGUUGCUCACAGGAUGAAGCAGUGACCUACUGAACCUCUGGGAAGAGUAAUAUUAGCCUCUGUCUGGUGUGCUGCUGCCUUGGCCCAGUGCACAGCCCUGCUGCCCGAGGCCCAGCACAGGCGCUCCUCCGGUGCCCUGUGUCUCCAGGCUGUCCCAUCCAAGGAGAGGAGAUGCACAAUGAGGACACUGAACUCAAGGACACCCCCGUACUUAAGCACGUAAUAAGCCCUCUGGUCCUCAGAUACAGCAGGUUCCCCAGCUUUGCUUCAAUCCACCUGGAAGGUUAAGCUACUGAGGCCUUGUCCUGGGAUCUGGAACCAGCAUUAAAUUCUAUGUUUGAAUGCAGAGAACAUUUUUCCAUCACACCUGAGAGCUGCUGCUUGUGAUGGAUUUUGAAGUGCCCAUGGACACAUGUUCAUGGCAGCAAGCCUCCAGGCUGACUUGCAGGAAGAUGACUGCCAUUUAAACUGGGGUCACUUCUGAGGCUGCCAGUGCCCUCGCUGCAUGUUAGCUUCAUGUGUAUGUGAUGGAGUUUCUUGUUGUGAUAUGAAAUAUUAGGAUAAGUGUCAAGGAGGCUGGAUAGUUAUUGCACUUGCAGUCAAACAAGGAUGAGGGCUGCUUGUUCUUCUUGAGCUUCUGGUGCUGCUGCUCCACUAGGCCUCCCUAAGCCUUCUGGCUACAAUAGUGUUGCCUGGAGUUCUGAUGCUGUCACUUCUCCAGAUUGUUUUAUAGAAAUGGAUUUUUCUUUUCUGGGUUUUCUGUGCCUUUAACUUUGGUUCUGCCUACACACUCAUGGCUGGAAUUGCAUUGAAGAGGCACACAGCAAAGAACAACGUGAAGCAGCUGCCGAUAUAUCCCGUUCGGUUUCAAAUGCAGUGGAAGAGGUGACAGCUGCCCAGGCUGGACUCCUGGGCAUGAAAAUGGCUCAAAAAUUGACAAAAUCAUAUUGAGUAAAAAGAUCUACUCAGGAGUCAGCCUCUCUGACAGCACAAACAGCCAAGAAUGAGGUGUCCAUAUUUUCUCUGUAUGUAGCAUGAGUGUGAGGGACAUAAGAAAUUAUUAAAUGUGAUGAAAGCUGUGUUGCCUUUCAGCUAAGCUCUUGUCCUUGCCUUUUAGGACUUCAAGAUAAAGAACUGGCAUUUGGAUCUAAUCAGGACUUAGAGAAACAGACAAGCUGGUAACAUUUCAAGGCUUCAAGCCCUCUAGAUUCAUUUUGGUUUAAUCCCUGUGUAGUUAAUUUUACUUCCCAAAGAUGUGUUGCAGGCUCUUGUUGCAAGUUUUGUUCCUCCUCAUGUCCCACCUCAGGCAUAUGUGGUGCUGGUGCUUUGCAGAGGUGCUGCAUCCCAUCACAAGCUUGUAGGUUAAUUGACUCCCCUGUGCCCCAUGAGUUUAGGAGGGCAACUUGGGGUCCCCUAGACCAAAGGUGCAACCCCAAAAAGAGUAGUUGCUGCAGUUAUCAUGGCUGAAAAUUCCUUGGGUAUCUCUCUCUGUGCUUCGUUUCCUGCCUUGCUCUGGCAAAGCUCCCUGUUUCCAUGGUGAUGAUUUAUUCCUCUAAAUAGUUGCUAUUCAAGAACAAUAUCAUGGGUCCUUCUCUGUUGUUGGUUUAAUUAAAACAAAACAAAACAAAACAAAAAAAACCAAAAAAACCCCUACUCUUCUCCUGGCAUCAGUUUUGGCUGAAGCAGUUAGAAUUGGACACUGUCAUCCAAUUGCUCUGAUCCACCCUUGCUCCCAUUCAGAGAUGACCUUUCUGCCUCCCUACCACUUAGUAUAACCCAUGAGGACUGUCCUACCACUCCUGACCUGUCCUACUGAGAAAUCUCACAUGGGAGGAGCUAGAAGGAAAACGCAGAAAGGAGGAGAGAGCAGCUGAGCUCUCGCAGAACAGUACCACACAGUCCCACGUUUGCCCGGGAGUGAAGGGGAGCACGACACCCUGUGCAGCUCUGCUCUUGAGCUUUGCUUUCCAUGAGCAAGGAGGCUUGUGAUAAAUAGGAAGCCUUGUGGGAACAACGUGGCCCAUGAUGAAAUGGCCUGUAGUGCAUCACUCAUCAUCACAGCCUGGAUUUUAAAUGAGCUGCCAAAGAGGGAGCCUCUCCCCUCCUCCCCAAUCCUCGGCUUCCAAAACAAAUAUUUUUUUAUUAUGAGUGGAACAAGGACUUGUAGCCUGAAAACUGGAAACAAAGAUGAAAGAAAAUUAAAAGGCUGAACUGCAUAUUAGUGGUAAAUUCCUGCAUAUUGGAGUAAAAUUCAAAUCUUAAAGUGUCUGUUUCAUUGCAUGAAAGUCUGAAUAGGCAGCCUGGUCUCCAUACAACAGGUACCAUUUGGUGUUACUUGGGACACUUCCUCCUUGCUUUGCAUAAUGAAAGAGACAGAGCAUCUGGUUUCUCUGCUUCAUUUUAAAUGCCAGUGCUUAUUUUGUUAAUACAUUUACAUUCCAAUUUUCUUCACAUGUAGUAAAAAGGAAAUGCUUUGAGGUUCUUCUACAUAGAAGCACAUUAACGUGCUUGAUUUUUAGGCACCAGUAGCAAAUGUAUUCAGAGCCUGGAGUUCAACCAUGGAGUGAGUAGAACAGACUUUGGGGAAUUGAAUUCCCAUCUAUGAAAGCAGUUCCUGAAUCAAUGAAGAAAUUUUCUGACUUGUUCCAUUAAAUGCAGCCAGCAUUGGCUUGUUCUGGGAGAUGGAUGAAAAUGUGUCCACAAAAAAGUAUGGAAUACAACCUUCCAAAUGGUUUUUGCUCUGGUGCACAGAACAGCAUCACAGGAGUACCAGGCUGCUGGCUAAUCCAGAAGGGCGGGUACCAGCUACAUUUCCUUCUGCAAUACUCAGGCUGCAAAAUCUUUUAAAGCAGUUGCAGCACCUUUCAAACAUGCAGUGGAACCCACCCUUAUAAGGUGGGAAAGCUUCAUGUUCUGCUGCUAGAAGAUAGGAAUGUGAGCUCGGCAAGGAGUGUUUCAUGUGAGCCCUUUAUCUGAGAAAUUGGUGAUAAAAGUGAAGAAGUUCACAUGACACAAGAAUUUCUCCCUUAUCUAAAGGAAACUGGAGAUGUCAAGUCAGAGGUACAAUACACAGGAUGAGUUACAAGGAGGAAAUGAUGUAAAGGGGACAGACAGUUUGGAAAUCUGCCUGCUUGCUUGUGUCCUAUUUUGUGCCUUGGAGGAUUAUACUGACAUCAAUACAAUAUUGAUUUUAAAAAUCAUUGACUGGAAGCUUGAAUAUGUCAGCUGUAUGACAAAAUGAAAAAAUCCAAAGUCCUUAGGACCCUCAAAUGUGCCAUCUCUAUUUUUGACCUCUCUUUGACAUUGAACUGGGAGAAAGUGAGGGAGGAUUUUGAGAUAAGCCUGUCAAUCUAUCAGUUGUCAUUUCCCUCAUAUAUUUUUUUCUGAAAGUAGCAGCCUUUAUGCCUCUGAAAGUAUAGUGGGGAAGAUGCUGUGCUAUCAAAACAGUUCAUUUACCCAACAUCCACAAAGUUUGCCCGGAAGAGAUUUUUCAAUCAUUUAAACCUUGGUUUUAGAUGGCUUGUCUCCUUUAAAAGCAAAGAGGAAAAUCCUACUUCUUGCUAUAGAAUAUAAGCAUGCCAGAUGUUAAAUUCCAUCUAUUUCCUCCACACUCUUUCCAAAGCUUGCCUAGAAACAUCUUGUCCCGUUGUAAGAAGCUUGUAUGGUCCUCAGAUUCUCUUGACACAUCACUUUAGGUAGCGUCUCUCUGCAUGCUCCCUGGUUAAUCUUGCCAUCAAAACCCUCUUGCUUUCAUCCCUGAUGCCACUGUUUCUGCCUAUUUCGUGUUUUACCUCUUUACACCCUCUCCUUCUCCAUAUUUCCUUUUACCUGGACUCAGUGCUUGGCUGAAAUGCUGCUUUUCAACACAGUGAGAUGGAAAGCCAGACAUCCAUCAUCCCUAGUCUAGUCCACGGACUCCAGAAAAAGCAGUUACAAGGCACAGGACUCCUGGUGAAACCAGAGGGCUGUGAGGGAAGGGCCACACAUUCAUCUGCUUCCCCAGAAGCAUGGACCCAACAUACUCUGUUUGUCCAGGGUGUCUCCAAAGCAAAACCCAGGUACCACAAGAAGAGGUAACCAGCAGUACUGUAGUUGUGCUGCUGUGAGGCCAUGCAAUCCAGACAUGUUUUUUUAUUGAGAAGCUUCAUCCUUCAUGAAGAGCUCAGACCAUGUUUUUUUUUUUUAAUAGCCCUGGGUUAUUUUUAUCAAAGACAAUGUGGCCAUUAGGAGUAGCAUAACAGGGAUCAGCAUGAUUUACUUUUUUCCAGGACAAUGGCCAUUAUUCUGGUGGAGCUGAGGACAGUUUGGGCUCUUACCAAUUGCCAUUUUCAUAUAAAGCAGGGCAAAAAGCAAAACAGAACCUGACUCCGCAGCUGGGCAGAGCUGCAGUGGUUUCUCUAUUGCUAGUGUAACUAAAAUGUGGUAAAAACACAAUCCAGUCUCUCAAGCCAGCAGAUAGGAUGAAAAAGAGAGUGUUAGUGGAAUCCUGCCUUUUUUGGCCUAAGUAGCCUGAUGAAAACUGUCCCUGCUCUGAGCUGGCAGCUGGACCAGGGCCCCUUCCAAACUGGAUUUCCUGAUGGUGCUCAAGAAUGACAGACUUCUACUGGCCUGCACAAGAAUUUGAACUUCCAGAGACAGUAAACCAGAGUGAGAUUCAAGAUCCUAAUUCCAUUCUGAAUUACAAGCCCAGGAUUCAAUGUGGUUUUCUGGUUUUGUUUUUCAUCAAGCCUAGGGUAUCCCCUGGGUGGGGUGGUGCUCCCCAGCAGCCAAGCGCCUGGCGUAGUUGCUCAGGGAGUGCCUCCUACGCAGCAGUCCAUGCAUGUGCAUGUCCUCCCUGAAGGCUACACCCUGCAGUGGUAGCUCUUCCCAAGACUUCCAUCAGAGCUGGAAGGAAUGAGAGAUGUGUCUGUAGCUAUACAUCCAAAUGUAAGGCCUGAUUUUUUUGUCAGUGGGACUACAUGUAGAGUGAAUGCUACUUCUGCUCUUACAGGGAAGCUGGAAGGUAGAUACUGGCCCUGUUCUUUCUUCAGAGCAUCCAUCCCAGGCUUAUCUGAAAACAGAGCCUAGACUGGGGCCAGGCUGGUCUGAAUGUGCCUAAUAAAAGAGGAUGGUACCAAUGUGAAGGGGUGCUUACACAUGCAACUCUGGGCUGUGCUCAGGGAAACACCUCGAUCAGUAGUGACCAUGGAGGGCUGGAGGUCUCUGGCUUGUGCAGGCAGAGACCAGGGGAAAAUAGACCUGCUGUCAGGAAGGAUGAAUUUGCUCCUAGGAGAUUGGUACUUUUGCUGAACCAGGCUGGAGAACAGUGGCAGGAAUUUUUCAUUCAUUUGCACCCAUCUCUAAUUUCUUCCAGCAAUGCUCUGGCAGAACUGAAGUCUAUUGAUGUUUAAAAAGCUCUUGAGCUGGUUUCUUCUCUCAGGGUGUUUUAGAUGUAUGUAAUACAUUGUGACUAUACUCCCAGGAACCUGUUGGGUGGGCUGGAUUUUGGAAAUAUGAAUAAGUCACAGAUAAAUGAACAAAGCAGAUAAACAGGUACAAGAGAAAACAUUGCUGUAAAUCCAAGGUGUGCCUCCUCUGUAGCUUCAUUUGGGAAUCAGGAAGAAACCAGCACUCAGUCCCAUUCAAGGUAAUGCUAGUUUUGGUAUUGGUCAUACACAAUUUGAACUGGGCCCAGAUCCUCUUUCUCCCUCCUUUUUUAAUUGUUCUUGCCAUAAUUACUACUAUUGUUGUAUAUAGUAGGGGUUUUUUCCCUUGUGUGCAAAAGCUAUGAUGCAAAUGGGAGUCACUCCCAGAGAGUGCCCAAGGGCUGGGAUGGAACUGCUCUGAGAUGGGUCAUGCUGCAAAAUAAUAAAGGUCAGGGGGCUUGUUCCAAACCAGAUGCCACUGGCAAACAUGUUGAGCCAUUGCUGUGCUCCAAAAGAAGUGCCAGAGCCCUGAGCCUUGGUCAUUUCCCCAAAAAAUCUGUGCAGCUGGGCUGGGACUCACUUCUCCUCUGUUGUGGUCAUAAAGGAGGGGUUAGACUUUUUCUCCCCAGAGCUAUUUGGAAGUCCCGAGUAGACAAGGAAACUGGCCCUGGACAGGAAACUCGGCAAUUGCACAGUGCUGACAAGUGUCCAGAGACUAUAUACCACAAAAGCACAGAGAAAAUGGGAAGCCUUGUGCUCUCCACUUUGUUUUUCAUGUGUAGGGAAUCUCAGGUGCCAGCCACAAAGAGACCAGACGUCUGCAGACAACCCCUGAUGUUUACAUUUAUUUUUAGCUAAGGCAAUGUAAUUUGUGGCUAAUGUAAUGGUUUAAUGAAACAGAAUCAGAAAGGAGUGAAGUUAUUUAUGUCUUUCAGCAAGACCCACACAGCCUGUUCCAGCUCUACAGCCCCAGCCUAAGCCCCUGGGCAGAGGGUUUGGGCACAGAGAUGACACAAUCCUGUGAGCUCUGCUCAGCUUUACUAUUCACAGACACUGAGCAUGUUAUAAAGUGGUAUUCCCAUAACCUCAGGCUCAUACACUCUCUGCUUUCCUCUCAUUGAAGUGAGAGUGCCAUGAUGAUAGACUGAACUCAGCACAAGGGAGACCUGGGUACUUUCAAAGUCCAAAAUAGAGCCUUACUUGAGUCAGGUGAUGAAGAAAUACUUAUAUUUAUUUUCUACUGUAUCAAUUGUGUGCCUUUUGCAUUGUCUGUCCUUCAAAGAAUGACAGUUUAGGGAUUCAGGGGGAUGAAGGGGGAUGCUUGGUUACCUAUUUUGCCUUAGCAGAAAAUCAUCCUUGAAUAAAGAUCCCAGAAAUAUUAUUAACCCCAAAGCAGUACAUUCCAGAAAUUAUGAGUAUGUGGAACAGAGUCUAUGUACACAUAUGAUGAAAAUUAUUUCCAAAUUUUAUCUUCUGUUCUGUCACAGGAUCCCACAACAAGGUCCUGUGAGGAAAGGAUUUAACCAUAACUUUUCAACAGACCCCCUUAUCAACCAAGUUGAUAUAUAUUUGUGUAGUGCUAGGGCUGAAUUUGGUACCACCUUGGCAAAGGUUUGCAAAACUGUAAUUUGCAUGUAGGUUCCCUUGUGUUAGCCAAAUAUUCACACCUUUCUGGUUUUUAUUUCCAUUACUCUUUAGGAUACCACAUACUUGAGGUACCUGAGGUGCACAUAUGUACUCUUGGGUCUGAAAGAAACAGGGAUUAAAAUACGCUUCAUUAGCUGUGGGUAGAGGUCUAUCAGCAGGGAGCUAGAAAGGUUUCUCGUAAAGCAUAUUUCUGGCUCUGUACCUGAGAUGGCUAUGACCAUUAGUACUGUGCAUAUCAGUAGUUGCAAUGAUUUGUAGUAGAAAAGAAUGUAUUUCACUGUAUUUCCCAUACAAAUAUUCUCAGUUUAUUUCCCACAAUUCAUGUCUCUCUUGAUUUUUUCACAUUUUCCCCUUCAGAAAAUACUUACCAUUCUAAAAGGAGCCAACCACCUUUAUACACAGACAGGUAGACUAUGCCACGAGGGUUUUUCUUUUAUGUGGGUGUUGCUAUAAAGAAAGAUUAUAAUCUAAGGCUCUUGCCUGUGGGUUAUCUUGAGAAUUGUCUAAGUUCAUUCAUACAAAUGGAGGAUAUGGAAUGGGACUUCGUAAGAAAUUUCACAAGAUGUCAAUAUCUUGGCAUUUCCAAUUCCUAGUCUGCGAGACUGCAAUGCUGUGAACAGUGUUGCCCAGAAAUGUCAGGUUGCAGAGGGUGUUCAGAGGAACAGGACAAUGCCAAAAACUGAGCCCCAGAGCUGCCAAGUCUCAUACUAAGACCAAGUAACUUUCUUCUUCUUCCCAGGCUUUUAUUUUCAUCACUGUUUUUCAAAGACCUGUCUGAUGCAGUAUCUGAAAGGCAUUUUUUUCAUCUCAACCUUACAAGAAAGAGUAAAGAGCACCUGUGUUUCUUUACCAAAAGAGUACAAGGAAGUUUUCUGAGGCUCAUGCUUCAUUAGCUCAGCUUCUCUAUCCAUAACCGUUUGGGUACAAUGUGCACAACCUGCAUAGUGAUUAUGGCAAGAGAAAAAUCCUUGAUGAUUUUUCCUGCCCCAUGGUCUGUGCACUGCCACCAAGAGUGGGAGGCCUUCUGCUGUCCCUGAUUAUAACUCUACUUCCCAACACCUGCAACCUCAGAUAUCACAGGAAUUACUGCAGUAAAAAACACCCUGUGAGAUGAAGAAAUUUUUUUUAAAAAGUCAGAGAUUAAGUAAUCGAGAAAAAGAGUCCAGCACACUGACCUUGUAGCUCAUUCUCAUCAUCUCUCUCUUCCCCAGAUGGGGAUGUCUUUACUUCUUGUCCAACAGCUUUGGGACACUGGUGACUGCUUGGGACCAGCUUCUCAGAGCUGUGGCUAUAAGCAAGAUCUACCAGGCUGUAUAUCUCCAAAAUCCUAUGAUGGAGGAGGCGACCAUGGGAGCAAGCAUCUCAGCUGGAGAAAUGUCCUUCACUGAGUGGAAAAAUGCUGCAUGCACAGUAGCCACAGGGCUGCUUCUCGAGGUGAGACUGGCUCUGUUCUUCCAAAUGACAGCCAGCUGCCACCUCUCUUCGUAAGAUUCAUUCCCCUGGAAGAUAUGACUGCCAUGAGGUAGCAUAUUGCUGCUUGGGAUGGGGAGAUAACACAUCAGCCUUUAGCCUUUCUCUGGAAACUUGUGUGAAAAUGGAUUCCAACUCUUCUUUGAAGAUUGAAGAAAAACAGGUGCUUGCUAUCCAGUGUGCUUUGAGCCAAAGACUGUGUGGGACAGAUGAGAUAGGGCCAGUGAUUCAGUGUCAGAAGAGAGUACUAGGCACAUGCCUACUGAAACAACCUCUUCCCAAGUGGGUUCAAGUGGGAGUAGGCCCCACUGUGUCAGCCCCAACACCUGAACAAUUCUGCCUGUGAUGAGGCUCCUACCUCAUCCCCAAAGAUGUCAAGCUCUUCUACAGCACUGCUUUCACUAAAUAUAGAGGGUCAGAGGCUGCUGUUGCUAUGGAGGCUGUCUCCCAGCCAGUUGAGAGUGCAGAAACCACAUCUGCUACUGCCCUGUGAAGAGGAUGGGGUAGGGAUGUUCAGGGUAUUUUUGGACAAGAACAAUGAUGGUGAGCUUACUGUUGGUCAGAACACAAGAAAUAAAAAACAUCUUCCUUUAUGUUAAUUAGUGGCUCUCACUUUUCAGCCGGGGAAGACCCAGGGAAGCUGUUAGGGCUGCUUUUGCUUUCCAGAGAGAAGAGCACCACUGCUUUCUGCCUGUGUCCUGGGGGUCAAUAUACAGCAGCACAUCUUUACCUAGACAGUUAUUUAAACAGCUCACGUCUGAAGGAACGAGCCCAGCCCCAAAUUCCCCAUUCGGUGUUUCUCCCUCUUGCACCCGGUCGGUGUUUGACCCUCCAUUUCGCAGCUUCGUGCCAAGGGCCUCCGCUGUGGCUCGGUGGAGGAGCCGGGCGCUGCAGCGGGAGUGCGAGGAGCUGCCCCGGGAGCCGGGGAUCCCUGCGGCGGGCCGGCAUCGCUCCCGCUGCCGCUCCUUACGCGGCUGCACGGCUCCCAGUUCUCCUCCCAGUUCUCCUUCUCUCCUGGUCACAACCAGUCUGACCCUAGGUGGCUGUGGAAACCUUCAAGCCCCGGCCAGGCGCCGUGGGGCCAGGCACAGCCCAGGGUGGGAAAACCCGCUGUGGGGAAUGAGUGGCACGGCCCACCAGGACUCUCUGCUUUUGUCCCUGCACCAAGCACCAGCCACCGCUGGGGUCGGGGAGACACAGUGAUCAGAGGGGAGUCCAGCCCAGCAGGGCUGCCGUGAUCCGGUUUGUGUGCAUCACUCAUCCCGGGGACCCGGUCAGGGCCACUGACUGCUGGGCUGGACAGCAGCCACACUAAGGCCUGCUUAAAGCUGUCGUGUAAAAAGCCUACAGUCUGAUUCCCAGGCAUCCCACAUGGAAGUGCAUCUGUCCUUCCUGGGACAGGAGCACAACUACAGGGGAGGCCUCUGCUUGAUGCCUGCCCUGCAAAAAAUAUUAAAUAAAUUUAUAAUAUUUUUUAAACAGUCAGGAAAGAAACAUGUACUGAUUCACUGGGUUUAAUUUGUUGGUCCAACAAAAGUCAUGAGAGACUGAUGUUUUGACAUGUGGACUAUAGUUUUAAUGUGAGGUCUGCUCCACCACUCUAUAUUAUUUAUUACUCCUCAGCCACUUCAUCUCCCUCUCUGCUAUUAAAGAAAUAGCAUAGGCUUUCUCACAGGAAAAAAUAAAAAUUAAAAAGCACAAUAUAUAAAUGGAGAGUAGGAUGCCCUGGGAAGGACCCCUAGGGAUGGGAGAAGACCAGUUUAUGGAACAAAUUCUAAAUUGUAAGGAUGACCUCUGGCCCUGACUGCUGGGCUACAGCCACAGAGAGCACAGGUGGAACAUGCACACAGGCCUGAAUGAGGUGGUGGCUGGGCUGCCCUGAGAGCCUCCUUGCCUUGGUCUGAAAGUGCCACUGUCUGCAUUUCUCACACCCCUCUUUUCUUGCUGUGUAUCAAAGCUAACUUUAUGAGAGGCUUGCAGGGAAGGCACAAGCAUGUAGUCAUGGCUCAGAGAGUCAAAGCACUACAGGGGAGAGUAGGGCUUACACAGCUGGUUUGGAGUCUUCUCUUAGAGAAGAGAUUAAAGGAAGCUGGGGAAGCAGCUUACCUAGUUUGCCUGCUGAGUGGCUGUCCCUGCUGUAUGCUGUUGGUGCUGCCCAGCGGCACUGUCCCCGCUUGUCUUACAGCACUGGACAUACUGCUCCACAAGUGUCACCUUCCUCAAAGUGGAGCCACUGCAAAUGUAUAGGUAUGAGGUUCUCUGCAGAUUUCCAGAUAAGAAGCUUUCUGAUACAAGAGAUAACUUUGCACUGCUCAGUUGGAUUUUCAGCAGCUGUGCAGAGUUGCUCCUGCUGUACAGAGAAGAAACAGUCAUGAGCUAGUUAAGAGCCAAUAAUAAUGAACACAAGAUGAUUUUCUGUACAAAGGCAUGCAUAACCCAUAACUGCUUCUAUGCAGCAGUUUUUGCUUGCAGAGCACAGAAGCUUAACCUGUUCUGCAGAGACAGGCAGGCUGCCAACCACCCAGGGGCUCGCUGAACCCUCCAGAGAAGUGGGGUGAAGGGAUUUCUUCAAGCAAAGCCCACAGUCAUGAAUGGCUAGAUUUAAGCUCCAGGAAGUCUAUUUUGGGAAAGCGAGCUAAUGGGGCAGUGACUUUAGGCUUAGUGUGUGAGUCCUGCUCCAAUUCUGAGAAAAGUUUGAAUCUGGAUCCCAGCCUCACUGGCUCAGUAUCAUGUUCCCCACUCACUCACUGCUGGACCACUGUGUGCUGAGAACAAGCUGACAUGCCUGGAAGGCUGUUGGUAGGUUUUCCAGCUGUACCAACUACUUUUCUAAAGGGAGCGAGUUCCGCCUCCACACCAUGCUGUACUAAGCUGUGCCACCUCUGCUGCUGGUGGAGGCAGGUGGCUUGGCAUCGUACAAAAGAAACUGAGAAUCUCAGGUGUUUCUCCCAGAUCUCCCAGGGCAGCCUUGGGAGCACUAGAUGAUACUACACAGGAGCCUUGAUUAGCAUUCUGAAGACCACAGUUAACAGCAGGUAAGAAUCAACCAACUCCCUCUGCACUUAGUUUCAGUUUAGAGCAUUUUAGAGCAUUUAUGUCCUGUUGGUGCACUAUGAUGAGGGUGGGCCUCUCUAGAGUCACAUGGAUCUGCAUUUUCCUAGCCCUUUAUGAACUAUCUGUCAUUGUGGCUCCAUACCCAAGCAUGGAUUAUGAAUAUAGUUUGCAGUUUGAUGACAAGGUGACACAUCUCACUAUUGAAAUAAACAAUUGAUGCUACAAGCAUGAAGAGAUGAAGGGGCCAUGAGAGGUGCACUUAAAAGCCAAAACCAGGACAGAAGCAUCUCCUGUCAGCAUUUGGAGUGAUGAUGAGUUUUGCUGGUAGCUGUGACACAGAGAAUUCCCACUUCCUUUAUGAGGCAGCUGGAAGUGGAUUUUCAGCAAUUGUUGUCCAUGUAAGUGUAUAUAAAGAUAUUUUUUUCCCACAGUCCCUUUCACCUUACUCACCUCUCUCAGCUGAAUCAAUAUCCUGCAGGAGUUGUGCUGCAAUGUGCUUAACACAUGGGUGUCUGAUGAGACUGUCUAGGUCAGGUUUCAUAUGUCUGAUUUAACAUUUUUAUUUCCCUACAGUUGUAAAUACUUUUCUUCAAUCAUUAGUCUCUUUACAAUCAUGUUGCUUCAUGGUACUGUCUUACCCUCUGAAGCCAAUGAUAUUACACAGUAUGAAACCAAGUUGGAGGGGAUCACAAAAGGUGACACAGGGUUCACCUUCCAAACUCAUGGUGGGGUUGAUUGUCCCUAAAGUUUGGCCUUUCUUAUAACUGUCCUAGUUUUUCUAUAAAAUCUCCAGCAGUGGGAAUUCAGCACCUUCUUUUGGUGACCUCCUCAAGUUCUUUGCUAUCCUGACCACUUGCAGAUUCGCCAAUGGCCACGGAAAAUGAUGUAAUGUGUUACUCUUUGCAGUAAACUUUUAUGUAUUUGA